rnacentral:rRNA from 1 species
AACACAUGCAGUCGAACGAUGAUGCCCAGCUUGCUGGGUGGAUUAGUGGCGAACGGGUGAGUAACACGUGAGUAACCUGCCCUUGACUUCGGGAUAACUCCGGGAAACCGGGGCUAAUACCGGAUAUGAGCCGCCUUCGCAUGGGGGUGGUUGGAAAGUUUUUCGGUCAGGGAUGGGCUCGCGGCCUAUCAGCUUGUUGGUGGGGUGAUGGCCUACCAAGGCGACGACGGGUAGCCGGCCUGAGAGGGCGACCGGCCACACUGGGACUGAGACACGGCCCAGACUCCUACGGGAGGCAGCAGUGGGGAAUAUUGCACAAUGGGCGAAAGCCUGAUGCAGCGACGCCGCGUGAGGGAUGAAGGCCUUCGGGUUGUAAACCUCUUUCAGCAGGGAAGAAGCGCAAGUGACGGUACCUGCAGAAGAAGCGCCGGCUAACUACGUGCCAGCAGCCGGGUAAAUA